CCUACGGGGUGCAGCAGUGGGGAAUAUUGCGCAAUGGGCGAAAGCCUGACGCAGCGACGCCGCGUGAGGGAUGAAGGUCUUCGGAUCGUAAACCUCUGUCAGCAGGGAAGAACGGUCACUGUGCUAAUCAGCAGUGAAUUGACGGUACCUGCAAAGGAAGCACCGGCUAACUCCGUGCCAGCAGCCGCGGUAAUACGGAGGGUGCGAGCGUUAAUCGGAAUUACUGGGCGUAAAGCGCUCGUAGGCGGUAUGUCAAGUCAAGGGUGAAAUCCCCGCGCUCAACGUGGGAACUGCCUUUGAAACUGGCAAACUGGAGUGUGUGAGAGGAGAGUGGAAUUCCAGGUGUAGGAGUGAAAGCCGUAGAUAUCUGGAGGAACAUCAGUGGCGAAGGCGACUAUCUGGCACAUAACUGACGCUGAGGAGCGAAAGCGUGGGUAGCAAACAGGAUUAGAUACCCCUGUAGUC
rnacentral:rRNA from 1 species